UCCGGUCGGAAAACAGGAGUGUGAAUAUUAAUUAGAGCGUCUUCACGUCGUUAAUUACCGUACAAAAUCAGCGUUUACCGACAUCGAGAUCGCGAUCGUACGGGCUAGCAAUCUCGGUAUCUCAUUUCUCGUCUUCGUUCCUCCGAAAGUUCGCGUCACAGCAACUUCGGCUCGACUCGGCUCGAGUCGCCGAAACUUCCCGCGCGCGAGCGAAGGACGACGGAUCGCGAGAGUGAUCGUGCGCUCUUCGACGCGAAAAUUUUCCGGGUUUUUCGGCGUUGUCGUAUGCAUUCCAAGUGGACGUUUACGCGUUUCCGGUCGUACCUUCGGCUCGUCGAUUCGAAGUAUCGUUUCGCGACGAGCAAAGCCCGUGGUUCUCGUCGAAAUUGUCAAGUCAGUUGUAAGGUUGUGUCACUAUGUUGCAUCUCUUGUCUUCCUCAAUAUCUGCAACUUUUUGCCAUGGUGAUGCUCCUUGUCUCGGGAGUGCAAAUCCGGGAGUGUCGUGUUUCGACGUGGACCGAAUAAUCUUCUCGAAAAGCAUCGGGCAUUGUUUUGUCUGUAUUUCGACUGUAUUUUGACGUGUACAGUGACUCUCGUGCGGUAUUUCGGUAUUAUUCGUUCGACAAGGAGCUUUCGCGAGUGCUCCAACAUCUCCAGGGUGCCAUCUGCCCGAAUAUCGGAGAGUGUCCGAGAAGCGCGAAAAUUCAUCGAAAUCGACAAUUCAAAUUGUGGGAGCUGCUUGAGAUACUGUGAUGCCGAGUGUCGCCGAGUGAUGUCGCGUAAAGUGUCUCUUCGCCAUGACACUUUUCGUACACUUCGCGAUGACACGAAAUGCAUUCGCGAGUAACCUUAUUUUUUUUCGUAUCGUCCGUUCAUUUCGAAGUGCAUCUGUGUAUAGUGAAGUGCGAUAAAUAAUGAUUGCAAUUAUAAAAUAAUAGAAAAAACUGUGCAGUGAUCAGUGCCAAAUUAUAUGGGAUUAUAGCAGAGCAGCAGCAAUGGGACAUUAAAGCGGAUAUAUAGUAUUAAAGCAGAGAGGUUCAGAUAAUCGGUUCAACGCAAAAUCAACUCUGAUGAUCUUUCCAACUGAGGAGGAGAAGGAGAAAGCAGGUCUGGGAGAGACAUCAGGCGCUGGCGGAGCAACUCUGGGACAACGUAGCUUCGCUAUUAACUCCGCUACUACGGUUGGUGAGUGCUAGUUUUUUAUUAUGAAAUAACGAUUUGGUGCAUGUAUAUUUAGUUGUAGAGACGUAAAUUUUAGAUUGUAGAUUGUAAACUGUUGUUUGUAGAUUCGUUACCUCAAAAUAAGUACACAUUAGAUUAGGAUAUUAACCAUCGUACAAAGGAAACUUUAUUUGAUCAGUGUUGUUGAGUUAAUUAUCCAACACGACAAGAGCGCAAUUUUUGUCAGAUCCCAUGAUUGUUUAUAUAUUUGUUUGACCGCGAUUUAGCUUCUUAUUUAAUAGAUCGUUGGAUUACUCUAUAAUAAAAUAAACUUUAGUAUGCCAAAUAUUCUUUAAAUUGAA